GACGAACGCUGGCGGCGUGCUUAACACAUGCAAGUCGAACGGAAAGGCCCUGCUUUUGUGGGGUGCUCGAGUGGCGAACGGGUGAGUAACACGUGAGUAACCUGCCCUUGACUUUGGGAUAACUUCAGGAAACUGGGGCUAAUACCGGAUAGGAGCUCCUGCUGCAUGGUGGGGGUUGGAAAGCUUCGGCGGUUGGGGAUGGACUCGCGGCUUAUCAGCUUGUUGGUGGGGUAGUGGCUUACCAAGGCUUUGACGGGUAGCCGGCCUGAGAGGGUGACCGGCCACAUUGGGACUGAGAUACGGCCCAGACUCCUACGGGAGGCAGCAGUGGGGAAUAUUGCACAAUGGGCGGAAGCCUGAUGCAGCAACGCCGCGUGCGGGAUGACGGCCUUCGGGUUGUAAACCGCUUUCGCCUGUGACGAAGCGUGAGUGACGGUAGUGGGUAAAGAAGCACCGGCUAACUACGUGCCAGCCGCCGCCGUAAGAC
rnacentral:rRNA from 1 species